rnacentral:ncRNA from 1 species
UCACGGGGUGCUUUUGCCAGAAGACAAUCUGGCGUAAGGCUGAGAAUAUACCCAUUGAACCUGAUGCAGGUAAUGCUGCCGCAGGGAUGAUGUUUA